GUCUGAUGGUGAAGGGGCGGCAGCACCUCCGGUUACCCAGUCCUGGGCCGAUGGCGCCGGCGCAGCGCUGCCCUCUGUGCCGCCAGACUUUCUUCUGUGGUCGCGGACACGUCUACAGUCGCAAGCACCAGCGGCAGCUGAAGGUGGCUUUGGAGCGGCUCCUGCCCCAGGUGCGGACGGGAGGCCGGAGGGGGCCGCGGACGGCCUGGAGGCGGGGCUGCGGGCCCUGCAGUGAGGGCCCGAGGGGGUGGGAUUUGGGGGUCCUGCUCGGGGUCCUACUUGGCCCCUUGCCGGUUACACGCUGUCCGCCGCAGGUGGAGGCCGCCCGCAAGGCCAUCCGCGCGGCUCAGGUGGAGCGUUACGUGCCCGAGCACGAGCGGUGCUGCUGGUGCCUGUGCUGCAGCUGUGAGGUGCGGAAACACCUGAGCCACGGAAACCUGACCGUGCUGCACGGGGGGCUGCUGGAGCACCUAGCCAGCCCAGAGCACAAGAAAGCAACCAACAGAUUCUGGUGGGAGAACAAGGCUGAGCUCCAGAUGAAAGAGAAGUUUCUCAUCUCCCCACAAGAUUAUGCACGAUUCAAGAAAUCCAUGGUGAAAGGUUUGGAUUCCUAUGAGGAAAAAGAGGAUGAGGUGAUCAGAGAGAUGGCAGCUCAGAUCCGUGAGGUGGAGCAGAGCCGGCAGGAGGUGGUUCAGUCUGUCUUAGAGGUUGGUUUCUCUCGGAGGAGCCAGAGCACCUCAGGCAGUGCCAGACCCAGAAGAGGGCUCUUCGGCACCUGGAAGCUGGAAAGGGACAAACAGACAAGUAGCCUCCACCUCACAGCAGCCCUCAUACUUGGACCUGCCACCAGCCCCACAGCUUGACUGGAUGGAGACAGGACAAUCUCUGACAUUCAUUGGCCAUCAGGAUACACCAGGAGUUGGUAACAUCCACUCAGGUGCCACCCCUCCCUGGAUGGUCCAAGAUGAGGAAUACAGCUCUGGGAACCAACAAAUAGGACCCUCCUAUGAAGAAUUUCUUAAAGAAAGUAAGUAAACUAAUUCAAGAAUAGCAGUGGGUUCCUUAAAUCUUCCUACUCAAAACUGUUCACUUACCAUUGUAGAGGAAAAACAGAAAUUGAAGAAACUCCCCCCAGGCAGAGUUGGGGCCAACUUUGACCACAGCUCUAGCACCGGUGCAGGCUGGCUGCCCUCUUUCGGCCGGGUCUGGAAUAAUGGACGCCGCUGGCAAUCCAGGCAUCAAUUCAAAACUGAAGCUGCAGCAAGGAACAAACAGUCACAUAAAGAAAAAAGGCUAAUGAUUUCCUGAUAUUUUUCCAACCACCAUAAGGCUCAAAGCCAAAUCAAC